GCUUACGGCCAUACCACCCUGAACACGCCCAAUCUCGUCUGAUCUUGGAAGCCAGGCAGGGUUGGGCCCGAUUAGUACUUGGAUGGGAGACUGCUUGGGAAUGUCAGGUGCUGUAAGCU
ensembl:rRNA 5S_rRNA 5S ribosomal RNA